AAAUGGUAAAAUUUUUUUUUUUUUUUUUUUUUUUUUUUUGCUAAGGUGAAGGACAAGUGCAAUGUGCGCUAGACUUGUUUACUGGAUUUGCCUCACGCGUGCGUAAGGAAGGUAUAUGCUGUGCUGGAGCGCAGGGUUUUUUCCAAGAGGACGCAGCUCAAUGUGAAUAAAAAAAGAAGACUGCUAAGCCCGAGAGUUUCAAGCAAGUACAAGCAGCGCGUCUGGCCGAGCUGCUCUGACUACACCGUUUCCCCCCCUGAGGGGAUGGUCGUGGAUCCUCUGGAGCCAGGAGCGACUCAGGGGCUCCUACGCGGCAGCACAUUUUUCGUGUUUGAGGGAGACUUUACAGUAAAAGGAGAUGAGAGCCACAAUUUGCUGCUUCCUGCUGUGGACGACGUACCUGCUGGCCACUGCUGAGAAGGAAGUGGAGUUUCCCCAGGAGCUGAUCGAUCGACUCUCCAACAGUGAAAUCCACAGCAUCAGCGACCUCCAGCGGUUACUGGAGAUUGACUCCGUAGGUACGGGAAACGAUGUUGUUGAGGAGCACAAGCACCACAAGCACCACAACCACCAUAAGAACUCGUCCCAUCAUCACGGUUACUACAAUGACCUGAAAAGCUCCCAGCUGCACAGCCGACGCAAGAGGAGCAUUGUCGAAGAGGCCGUCCCGGCAGCAUGCAAGACGCGGACGGUGAUCUACGAGAUCCCCCGGAGCCAGGUGGAUCCCACAUCUGCCAACUUCCUGAUAUGGCCGCCCUGUGUGGAGGUGAAGCGCUGCACAGGAUGCUGCAACACCAGCAACAUGCGCUGUCACCCUUCCCGCAAGCACCACCGCACCGUUAAGGUAGCCAAGGUGGAGUACGUGAGGAGGAGACCCAAGCUGAAGGAGGUCUUUGUGAGGUUAGAGGACCACCUGGAGUGCUUGUGCACAUCGCAACAUCACGUGGUAGAACACUUAGAUCCAGAAACAGGCCAUCGUAGGGUUAAAGGUAGAAAAAGGAAACCUAAAAAGCUAAGGCCCACCCAGGACUUAUUGGUGACAUAAUAAAGGUGCUCAUAUUACCCAAAGUCCACUGCAAAGCUGUGACAGGACACAGCGGAUGUGAGGUGAGACCUCCCAGAAUAAGGGGCAGCAUCACGGGAUGGACCUAAACCAGAAGAGGACACCGUUUUCUUUGUCUGUCUCUCCACCCACCAUGCAAACAUUGUUCAAGGAAAAUAUACUUUCUCCAAAAGUCUUGAGACUGAAAAAUAGACAACAGACUAAAAAUACAGAAUGCCAAAGGUGCUUUCAAAACCAGUAAUGAUGAGGGCAACUGAACUGUGCUGCUGAUUACGAAGAAAAAAAACAAAAAAGAAGAUGCCGUGAAGCUCAGACUUCAAGAGGAUGGAAGGAAUUUGGGAUGAACAAUUCAAAAGACACGCAAAAUGGAAAAUAGACUGUGGGAUCAGACUUUUUUUUGUGAAUCCAGUGCUAUAGCUCAAAGUGCCCUGUUUGUAUAAAAAAACUGUUGCAUUCAUAAAAAGAAAGCAAAAGGAAGAUAGGAGUAAAGAUGCAAGGAAACAGUUUGGGAGUGUUCAUUUUUCCUAUAAGAGGCAGAAAACAUUGUGACUGAUGGACAAUUUGUUCAAAUUAAGGAAGAAACAGCCUCAGAGACUUCCGGUUUUGAAAUUGCCUUACCUGCUAUGUACAUAUAGAUCUAAAAACAAAAAAACAAAAAAACAAAAAAAAAAAACAGAGGAUGCGCCGCUGCUUACAAACUAUUUAUGUGUGUGGACAUUUGCUUUUGUCACUUUCAGUCUUCGAGAAAGGACAAAAAAAAUAUGUUUUUAUUAAUUUCCGCAGACAUACUGGUAUGUUUGGUCCAGUCCUUUGCUUUCACCAGUAUCACAAUCUCAGUGUCAUUUUUGUUUUUUAGCAGUUGUUUUUUUUUUCCAUCGUCAACCAUGUUUCGUAUUAUAUUGCAGUAUAUCUGAUUGAUGUCAAGUCUUGCAUAUGGUUCAGAUGUAUGUGUGCAAGGAGGAGAUGUGAGAGUUAGUAAAGGAAGAUGUUUUAUUUUUGUUAUGAAAUAUAUUAUGCAUACUUAUAUCCAAGCAGGAAUGAUGUUUUCUUUCUUCUUUUUUUUUUUGGAAAACAAUGCAAAUCAUUUUAGCAGAUGGUCAAAUUGGUAAGGUUGAAAUCUGUUUUCAUCACUUUUGUACAAGGGUAUAAAAAAGCAGAAUCAAUAGCUAGUGGUAGUUUAUAUUUCCUUAUGCUGCAGUCAUGCUCCUUUUUUCCAGACAAACAAACAAGCAGAUAUUACAAUAUGUCGAUGACAAUCGCAUAACUAUACCAGAAAAGGUACCACAGUGUACAGAUCUAAGUAAAAGUGUAGUUGUAGUUGGGUCUGUGUCCUUACAAUGAAGCGAUAUUUGGUGCCUUAAACUCCUGUUUAGGAUUCACUUUAAUUUGAUUUACGUUUACAUGUUUAAAUCUUUUGUCUCUAAAUCCAUAGUUUCCAUGCCAGUCAACAAAAUGCUACAGGUCAAUGAGCUGAGUCCAAAUUUCAGACAAAUUUAUCUGACAUCCAUAUCAGAAGUGAAA